rnacentral:rRNA from 1 species
GAUGAACGCUGGCGGCGUGCUUAACACAUGCAAGUCGAGCGAGUGAGUUCUUCGGAACGAUCUAGCGGCGGACGGGUGAGUAACACGUGGGCAACCUGCCUCAUAGAGGGGAAUAGCCUCCCGAAAGGGAAAUUAAUACCGCAUAAAAUUAUCGAGUGGCAUCACAUGAUAAUCAAAGGAGUAAUCCGCUAUGAGAUGGGCCCGCGGCGCAUUAGCUAGUUGGUGAGGUAACGGCUCACCAAGGCGACGAUGCGUAGCCGACCUGAGAGGGUGAUCGGCCACAUUGGGACUGAGACACGGCCCAGACUCCUACGGGAGGCAGCAGUGGGGAAUAUUGCACAAUGGGGGAAACCCUGAUGCAGCAACGCCGCGUGAGUGAUGAAGGUCUUCGGAUUGUAAAGCUCUGUCUUUGGGGACGAUAAUGACGGUACCCAAGGAGGGAGCCACGGCUAACUACGUGCCAGCCGCCGCAGUAA